rnacentral:rRNA from 1 species
AUUGAACGCUGGCGGCAGGCCUAACACAUGCAAGUCGAACGGUAACAGGGAUCAGCUUGCUGAUUCGCUGACGAGUGGCGGACGGGUGAGUAAUGUCUGGGAAACUGCCUGAUGGAGGGGGAUAACUACUGGAAACGGUAGCUAAUACCGCAUAACGUCGCAAGACCAAAGAGGGGGACCUUCGGGCCUCUUGCCAUCGGAUGUGCCCAGAUGGGAUUAGCUAGUAGGUGGGGUAACGGCUCACCUAGGCGACGAUCCCUAGCUGGUCUGAGAGGAUGACCAGCCACACUGGAACUGAGACACGGUCCAGACGCCUACGGGAGGCAGCAGUGGGGAAUAUUGCACAAUGGGCGCAAGCCUGAUGCAGCCAUGCCGCGUGUAUGAAGAAGGCCUUCGGGUUGUAAAGUACUUUCAGCGGGGAGGAAGGGAGUAAAGUUAAUACCUUUGCUCAUUGACGUUACCCGCAGAAGAAGCACCGGCUAACUCCGU